GGUUAAGUGACUAAGCGUACACGGUGGAUGCCUAGGCAGUCAGAGGCGAUGAAGGGCGUGCUAAUCUGCGAAAAGCGUCGGUAAGGUGAUAUGAACCGUUACAACCGGCGAUACCCGAAUGGGGAAACCCAGUGUGUUUCGACACACUAUCAUGUCAUGAAUACAUAGUGGCAUGAGGCGAACCGGGGGAACUGAAACAUCUAAGUACCCCGAGGAAAAGAAAUCAACCGAGAUUCCCCCAGUAGCGGCGAGCGAACGGGGAGGAGCCCAGAACCUGAAUCGGCUUGUGUGUUAGUGGAAGCGUCUGGAAAGUCGCGCAGCAAAGGGUGAUAGCCCCGUACACUAAAAUACACAGGUCGUGAGUUCGAUGAGUAGGGCGGGACACGUGACAUCCUGUCUGAAUAUGGGGGGACCAUCCUCCAAGGCUAAAUACUCCUGACUGACCGAUAGUGAACCAGUACCGUGAGGGAAAGGCGAAAAGAACCCCGGCGAGGGGAGUGAAAUAGAACCUGAAACCGUGUACGUACAAGCAGUGGGAGCACCUUCGUGGUGUGACUGCGUACCUUUUGUAUAAUGGGUCAGCGACUUAUAUUUUGUAGCAAGGUUAACCGUAUAGGGGAGCCGUAGGGAAACCGAGUCUUAACUGGGCGAAUAGUUGCAAGGUAUAGACCCGAAACCCGGUGAUCUAGCCAUGGGCAGGUUGAAGGUUGGGUAACACUAACUGGAGGACCGAACCGACUAAUGUUGAAAAAUUAGCGGAUGACUUGUGGCUGGGGGUGAAAGGCCAAUCAAACCGGGAGAUAGCUGGUUCUCCCCGAAAGCUAUUUAGGUAGCGCCUCGUGAACUCAUCUUCGGGGGUAGAGCACUGUUUCGGCUAGGGGGCCAUCCCGGCUUACCAAACCGAUGCAAACUCCGAAUACCGAAGAAUGUUAUCACGGGAGACACACGGCGGGUGCUAACGUCCGUCGUGAAGAGGGAAACAACCCAGACCGCCAGCUAAGGUCCCAAAGUCAUGGUUAAGUGGGAAACGAUGUGGGAAGGCAUAGACAGCCAGGAUGUUGGCUUAGAAGCAGCCAUCAUUUAAAGAAAGCGUAAUAGCUCACUGGUCGAGUCGGCCUGCGCGGAAGAUGUAACGGGGCUAAACCAUGCACCGAAGCUGCGGCAGCGACGCUUAGGCGUUGUUGGGUAGGGGAGCGUUCUGUAAGCCGUUGAAGGUGGCCUGUGAGGGUUGCUGGAGGUAUCAGAAGUGCGAAUGCUGACAUAAGUAACGAUAAAGCGGGUGAAAAGCCCGCUCGCCGGAAGACCAAGGGUUCCUGUCCAACGUUAAUCGGGGCAGGGUGAGUCGACCCCUAAGGCGAGGCUGAAAAGCGUAGUCGAUGGGAAACAGGUUAAUAUUCCUGUACUUGGUGUUACUGCGAAGGGGGGACGGAGAAGGCUAGGCUAGCCGGGCGACGGUUGUCCCGGUUUAAGCGUGUAGGGGGUGUGACCUGGUAAAUCCGGUU
rnacentral:rRNA from 1 species